CCUGAUGAAAUAACCCGAAAGAAGGGGAAAACCACUCAGGGCAAGGGUGUGGCUCUGGAGUUACGUGCUUUGCCUUGACGGCACUAGAAAGCAAAGUUCCGAGGACUGUGUUGCAACUUGGAAGCCCGCGCAAGCAGCUGGAAGGGGUGCUGUGAUUACAGCCGCGUGAAGGCAUGCGCGCUGGGGCCUGGCCAGCGGGGUGCCUGGAGAGUGGUCAUCCCCUCUGGAAGAUGAAGUAACAGGGCACCAUCUUGGAAGCAAAGAGAGCAGCCCUCGCCAGACUCCAAGUCUGCUGGAGCCUUAAUCUUGGACUUCCCAACCUCUAGAGUUGUGAGAAAAUAAAUUUCUAUUUAUAAUUUACCCAGUCCAUGGAGUUGUGUUACAGCAGCACAAGUGGACUAAGACGCUGUCAACACUUGUUAAUUUCUGUUGUUAUGCCAUCGUAGUGGUUGUAAACUGAUAUCAUGUUGUGAUUUUGAUUUGCAUUUCCCUGAUGAUUAGUGAUGUUGAGCAUCUAUCUGUUCAUGUGCUUGUUGGCCCUUUGUGUAUCUUCUUUGAAUAAAUGUCUAUUCAAGUUCUUUGUCCAUUUUUAAGCUGGGUUGUAUGUCUUCAUUGUUGUUAGGUUGUAACAGUGCUUUA
rnacentral:lncRNA from 10 species